GUGUCAGCAGCCGCGGUAAUACAGAGGGUGCAAGCGUUAAUCGGAGUUACUGGGCGUAAAGGGCGCGUAGGCGGUCUUACAAGUGAGAUGUGAAAUCCCCGGGCUUAACCUGGGAACUGCAUCUUAAACUGUAAGGCUGGAGUACUGUAGAGGAUAGUGGAAUUUCCGGUGUAGCGGUGAAAUGCGUAGAGAUCGGAAGGAACACCAGUGGCGAAGGCGACUGUCUGGACAGAUACUGACGCUGAGGCGCGAAAGCGUGGGGAGCAAACAGGAUUAGAAACCCUAGUAGUCC
rnacentral:rRNA from 1 species